rnacentral:lncRNA from 1 species
GCAUGCAUAUGGGGAAGCAUUUUCAUCGUGGAUGCAUAUCGUGAAUGGCAUUAGAAAAGGAGGGACUUGCGCGCCCGCCUCCGCCGCCGCCACCGGGCCCUUACCACCGCCCUCACACGCCACAAGUUCAUAGGCGCUUUCUCGUAGGGCAGUAAACAUUCGGGGUUGGCUGGUUGUAUGUAUAUGCUUGGUUAACUGAUCGAGGUGGCGUGCGUGCGUGGCUGUUUGCAGGUCUCGGCACCGG